rnacentral:lncRNA from 1 species
UACGCCCUUAUCUGAGCUAUAACAUACUUCGGAGUUGAUAUACAAUUUUUUAUUUUUUUUAAAAAAAAAUAGCUCGCUAUCCGCUUUAUUCGUUGGAAUAGUGAAUUAAGUUACAUAGGUGAGGCAACACAGGCCUCGAAGGGGGCGGGAAAAAAAAAUUGUAAUCUAAUGGUUAUAUAUUGUUGCAUAUCUGCUAAAAUCUAAUAAAUUUUAAAUUUUUGAUAUACAAAAUUUAAAAUUUAUUAUAUUUGGUAAUACUAAGUUAUUUCUGGUUUUAAAAUGCUUUCUUAAUUUUUGUCGAAGUUCAAUGAUUUGUUUCAAAGCAGUUUAUAAAACACUCCAUAAAGCACCUGAAUGUUCUAUUUUAAAAGAUAUAAAUACUGCAAAAAAUAUAUCAAACAUAU